rnacentral:rRNA from 1 species
GAGUUUGAUCAUGGCUCAGAACGAACGCUGGCGGCGUGUUUAAGACAUGCAAGUCGAACGAGAUGACACCGGUAUUUAUAUUGGUUGACUCUAGUGGCGCACGGGUGAGUAACACGUGAACAACAUACCCUCGAGUGGGGGAUAGCCCGCCGAAAGGCGGAUUAAUACCCCAUGGUAUCUUCGGAUUAAAGAUGGCUUCGGCUGUCGCUUGAGGAUUGGUUCGCGCCCUAUCAGCUUGUUGGUGAGGUAACGGCUCACCAAGGCUACGACGGGUACCUGGUUUGAGAGGACGAUCAGGCACACUGGAACUGAGACACGGUCCAGACACCUACGGGUGGCAGCAGUCGAGAAUAAUUCACAAUGGGCGAAAGCCUGAUGGUGCAACGCCGCGUGGAGGAUGACGGUCUUCGGAUUGUAAACUCCUGUCAUCAGGGAGUAAGACCUGGGUGUUAAUAGCACACAGGGUUGAUAGUACCUGAAGAGGAAGGGACGGCUAACUUCGUGCCAGCAGCCGCGGUAAUACGAAGGUCCCAAGCGUUGUUCGGAUUCACUGGGCGUAAAGGGAGCGUAGGCUGUGCGGUAAGUCAGAUGUGAAAUCCCGGGGCUCAACCCCGGAACUGCAUCCGAUACUGCCGUACUAGAGUAUUGGAGAGGUAACAGGAAUUCACGGUGUAGCAGUGAAAUGCGUAGAUAUCGUGAGGAAGACCAAUGGCGAAAGCAUGUUACUGGACAAUCACUGACGCUGAGGCUCGAAGGCCAGGGUAGCGAAAGGGAUUAGAUACCCCUGUAGUCCUGGCAGUAAACGGUGCGCGCUUGGUGUGAGGGGAUUCGACCCCCCUUGUGCCGGAGCUAACGCGUUAAGCGCGCCGCCUGGGAAGUACGGUCGCAAGACUAAAACUCAAAGAAAUUGACGGGGACCCGCACAAGCGGUGGAGUAUGUGGCUUAANUUCGAUGCAACGCGAAGAACCUUUACCAAGGCUUGACAUGCAUCUCUAAU